rnacentral:rRNA from 1 species
UAAUGUAAAAAUAAAAAAAUUAGAGUAGUAAUAGUUAUGAUCUUGAAACUCAAAAAAUUUGGCGGUAUUUUAGUCUAUUCAGAGGAACCUGUAAUUUAAUCGAUAUUCCACGUUGAAUCUUACUUAAUUUUGUAUUUUAAUUUGUAUAUCGCCGUUAUUUGAAAAUUUUAUAAGAAAAAUAAUUUUCUAAAAUUUUUAUUAAAAAAUAAAUCAGGUCAAGGUGCAGUUUAUGAUUAAGGAUUAUAUGGGUUACAAUAAAAUUAUUAAAAUGAAUUAAAAAAUGAAAAAUUUUUAUGAAGGUGGAUUUGAUAGUAAAUUUUUAAAGAUAAAAAAAUUGAUU